AGUGGGAGCCCCACCACCAAAGCGUUUCGCUUUGUGUGGUGCACAAAGAAGCGUAACGACAGCACUGAAUGACGGUUAACGGAGCGCAAGCGACGUUCAACAUACAAAGUCAAGCAGUGGAGCGCUUUGGGGUGGGGUGACUGCGUACCUUUUGUAUAAUGGGUCAGCGACUUAUAUUCUGUAGCAAGGUUAACCGAAUAGGGGAGCCGGAGGGAAACCGAGUCUUAAUUGGGCGUUAAGUUGCAGGGUAUAGACCCGAAACCCGGUGAUCUAGCCAUGGGCAGGUUGAAGGUUGGGUAACACUAACUGGAGGACCGAACCGACUAAUGUUGAAAAAUUAGCGGAUGACCUGUGGCUGGGGGUGAAAGGCCAAUCAAACCGGGAGAUAGCUGGUUCUCCCCGAAAGCUAUUUAGGUAGCGCCUCGUGAAUUCAUCUCCGGGGGUAGAGCACUGUUUCGGCUAGGGGGCCAUCCCGGCUUACCAACCCGAUGCAAACUGCGAAUACCGGAGAAUGUUAUCACGGGAGACACACGGCGGGUGCUAACGUCCGUCGUGAAGAGGGAAACAACCCAGACCGCCAGCUAAGGUCCCAAAGUCAUGGUUAAGUGGGAAACGAUGUGGGAAGGCCCAGACAGCCAGGAUGUUGGCUUAGAAGCAGCCAUCAUUUAAAGAAAGCGUAAUAGCUCACUGGUCGAGUCGGCCUGCGCGGAAGAUGUAACGGGGCUAAACCAUGCACCGAAGCUGCGGCAGCGACGCUUAUGCGUUGUUGGGUAGGGGAGCGUUCUGUAAGCCUGUGAAGGUGGCCUGUGAGGGUUGCUGGAGGUAUCAGAAGUGCGAAUGCUGACAUAAGUAACGAUAAAGCGGGUGAAAAGCCCGCUCGCCGGAAGACCAAGGGUUCCUGUCCAACGUUAAUCGGGGCAGGGUGAGUCGACCCCUAAGGCGAGGCCGAAAGGCGUAGUCGAUGGGAAACGGGUUAAUAUUCCCGUACUUGGUGUUACUGCGAAGGGGGGACGGAGAAGGCUAUGUUGGCCGGGCGACGGUUGUCCCGGUUUAAGCGUGUAGGUGUGUGUUCCAGGUAAAUCCGGUUCACUU
rnacentral:rRNA from 1 species